rnacentral:rRNA from 1 species
GAAUAUUGCACAAUGGGCGCAAGCCUGAUGCAGCGACGCCGCGUGGGGGAUGAAGGCCUUCGGGUUGUAAACUCCUUUCGCUAGGGACGAAGCUUUUUUGUGACGGUACCUAGAUAAGAAGCACCGGCUAACUACGUGCCAGCAGCCGCGGUAAUACGUAGGGUGCGAGCGUUGUCCGGAAUUACUGGGCGUAAAGGGCUCGUAGGUGGUUUGUCGCGUCGUCUGUGAAAUUCCGGGGCUUAACUCCGGGCGUGCAGGCGAUACGGGCUGACUUGAGUGCUGUAGGGGAGACUGGAAUUCCUGGUGCAGCGGUGAAAUGCGCAGAUAUCAGGAGGAACACCGAUGGCGAAGGCAGGUCUCUGGGCAGUAACUGACGCUGAGGAGCGAAAGCAUGGGUAGCGAACAGGAUUAGAUACCCUGGUAGUCCAUGCCGUAAACGGUGGGCGCUAGGUGUAGGGGGCUUCCACGUCUUCUGUGCCGUAGCUAACGCAUUAAGCGCCCCGCCUGGGGAGUACGGCCGCAAGGCUA